UGUUCGCUCCGCCGCCUGUCCGCGCACCUGCGCUGAGGCCCUUGCGGCUACUACCUGCUGGGGACCUGGGCGCGGAGGAUGCGCGACAUCGACGCCAUGCCCCUGUGGCGGGGACAUCCCGGCUUAGAACAGAAUAGUGUUUAGGCACGACCUAGCCACCUAAGUGAGGGCACUGAAGCUGCCGGGGGAAGGGUAAAGAAGGCGUCGCGGGGCCCUAGCGUGGCGACGCUGGAUUUUUGUAGUAGCAAAGUUAAGUUUACAUAUGCUGCGGUUGGCAGGAUUCUCUUCCCUGAGGAAUUCGGGUUCGCAUUUGGAUCCUCUCCACAGGUUUCUUUUCUCUAUAAUGGAAGACAGCAAAUUCAAAGGCUAUAGGAACGAGACAAGUAACAAACGAGUGAAAUGGCAUAAGACAAUUUGGAGUGCUGGGGACUGGCAAGCCACUGCUCCCUCAUCACUCAGCUCUGGGUACCCCAUGCACAUGUGAACACAAUGACACCAGGCCUUCGGUUUUUAGAGAUACCACUGCUGAGUCCUGGAUAGUGAAGAGGUGGAGAAUCAGACAGUUCAAGUUCAAGUGCCUGUAUCUGGAUCUUAUUUGCAGGGAAUGAACUUUGCCCAGGUGAGAUGCUGGCUGAAACAGUGCUUCACUGAAACCGGAGGAAGUCACGGAGGAUGUUAUGUAGAAAAAUGUCCUAGGAGCCUCAGAAUAAAUGAGUACGAGAUUUUUUUCUUUGACAUUUCCGGUAUCAGAAGUGGGAUUUUGAAAGUGCAUUAUCUUCUCUGAUCCUUGAGGCAUCAAGGACAUGGGCACAGUACCAGCUGAGCUGCUUUGGACUAUCCACUUCUGCAAAUACUCAGGAAUCUGUUAAGGCUUACCUCAGAGAUAUUGCCAGUUUGGUUCCAGACCACUGCAAUAAAGCAAAUAUCACAGUAAAUUACUUCCUCCACUGAAGUCUUGAACCUCUCAAAGUCAUCCAUCAGGGUUGGAAUCAACUUCUUCCAAACUCCUGUUACUGUUGAUAUUUUGACCUCCUCCCACGAAUCACAAAUGUUAUUAAUGGCAUCUA